CACAGUGACUCGGCCUCCAUCAUGCCAACAGGGUGGGCGGAUGCGCAGGCCACAGAGUCCCUGGUUGGUGAGGAAGCUGCCAAUCCUGGUCAUCUCUUGGAGCCGGGCGGGGGUCAGAGUGUGGCUGGAGCACGAUUCACAGCCUCCCAAAGGUGGAAAGCACCAAGCAGGGGCCCAUUAGGGCAAACAGAUGAGCACAACGUGGUCUGUCCAUGCAACAGGCACUACUCAGCAGUGAAAAGCCAGGAGGCACUGACACGCUGCAGCUGGGAUGGACCUUGAAGAUGUGACGCAACGUUAAAGAAGCCAGGCAGAAAAGGCCCAUUGCUGUGAAACGUCUGGAACAGGCAAAUCUACAGAGACAGAGCGUGGAUUUGUGGUUGCCUGGGGCCGGGGAGGAGGGGGAGACAAAGUGACUGCUCAUGGGCACGGGGUUUCCUUUUGGGGGUGAAGACGAUGUGACUGUCAACACCGAGCAUGCUAAGACCCACUGGACUGUACACCGUAAGUGAAUGAAUUACACAGUGUGGAAAUCACAUCUCAAUAGAGCUACUGAACAGCACAG
rnacentral:antisense_RNA from 1 species